rnacentral:rRNA from 1 species
CCUCCUUCGGGAGGGGAUUAGUGGCGAACGGGUGAGUAACACGUGGGCAAUCUGCCCUUCACUCUGGGACAAGCCCUGGAAACGGGGUCUAAUACCGGAUAACACUGCGGAUCGCAUGGUCUGCGGUUAAAAGCUCCGGCGGUGAAGGAUGAGCCCGCGGCCUAUCAGCUAGUUGGUGGGGUAAUGGCCUACCAAGGCGACGACGGGUAGCCGGCCUGAGAGGGCGACCGGCCACACUGGGACUGAGACACGGCCCAGACUCCUACGGGAGGCAGCAGUGGGGAAUAUUGCACAAUGGGCGAAAGCCUGAUGCAGCGACGCCGCGUGAGGGAUGACGGCCUUCGGGUUGUAAACCUCUUUCAGCAGGGAAGAAGCGAAAGUGACGGUACCUGCAGAAGAAGCGCCGGCUAACUACGUGCCAGCAGCCGCGGUAAUACGUAGGGCGCAAGCGUUGUCCGGA